GUGGGGCUCAGUGGUAGAGUGUGUGCUUAGUAAGCACGAGGCCCUGGGUGCCACUCCCAGCAC
rnacentral:tRNA from 1 species